GCCUACAGACAUACCACCCUUAAUGUGCCCGACCUCAUCUGAUCUCGGAAGCUAAGCAGCGUCAGGCCUGGUUACUACUUGGAUGGGAGUGUGUGGUUGAAAGAGACUCUCUAGAAA
rnacentral:rRNA from 1 species